GACCGAGCAACGCCCGCGUGAACGAUGAAGUAUUUAGGUACGUAAAGUUCUUUUAUUAAAGAAGAAAAAAUGAUGGAAAAAUCAUUCUGACGGUAUUUAAUGAAUAAGCCCCGGCUAACUAUGUGCCAGCAGCUGCGGUAAUACAUGGGGGGCAAGCGUUAUCCGGAUUUAUUGGGCGUAAAGGGUGCGUAGGCGGUUAAAUAAGUCUAUGGUAUAAGUUCAACGCUUAACGUUGUGAUGCUAUAGAAACUGUUUGACUAGAGUUGGAUAGAGGCAAGUGGAAUUCCAUGUGUAGCGGUAAAAUGCGUAAAUAUAUGGAGGAACACCAGUAGCGAAGGCGGCUUGCUGGGUCUUAACUGACGCUGAGGCUCGAAAGCGUGGGGAGCAAACAGGAUUAGAUACCCUGGUAGUCCACGCCGUAAACGAUGAGUACUAAGUGUUGGGUUAAACCAGUGCUGAAGUUAACACAUUAAGUACUCCGCCUGAGUAGUACGUACGCAAGUAUGAAACUUAAAGGAAUUGACGGGACUCCGCACAAGCGGUGGAUCAUGUUGUUUAAUUCGAAGAUACACGAAAAACCUUACCAGGUCUUGACAUACUCUGCAAAGCUAUAGAAAUAUAGUGGAGGUUAUCAGGGAUACAGGUGGUGCAUGGUUGUCGUCAGCUCGUGUCGUGAGAUGUUGGGUUAAGUCCCGCAACGAGCGCAACCCUUAUCACUAGUUACCAUCAUUUAGUUGGGCACUUUAGUGAGACUGCCAAUGAUAAAUUGGAGGAAGGUGGGGAUUACGUCAAAUCAUCAUGCCCCUUAUGACCUGGGCUACAAACGUGAU
rnacentral:rRNA from 1 species